CCCAGACUCCUACGGGAGGCAGCAGUGGGGAAUAUUGUACAAUGGGGGAAACCCUGAUGUAGCGACGCCGCGUGAGUGAAGAAGUAUUUCGGUAUGUAAAGCUCUAUCAGCAGGGAAGAGAAUGACGGUACCUGAGUAAGAAGCCCCGGCUAACUACGUGCCAGCAGCCGCGGUAAUACGUAGGGGGCAAGCGUUAUCCGGAUUUACUGGGUGUAAAGGGAGCGUAGACGGCAGCGCAAGUCUGAAGUGAAAUGCCGGGGCUUAACCCCGGAACUGCUUUGGAAACUGUGCAGCUAGAGUGCAGGAGAGGGAAGUGGAAUUCCUAGUGUAGCGGUGAAAUGCGUAGAUAUUAGGAGGAACACCAGUGGCGAAGGCGGCCUGCUGGACGAUGACUGACGUUGAGGCUCGAAAGCGUGGGGAGCAAACAGGAUUAGAUACCCCCGUACAG
rnacentral:rRNA from 1 species